UAGAGACGAGGUUUCACCAUGUUGGUCAGGCUGGUCUCGAACUUCAGACCUCAGGUGAUCCACCUGCUUCGGCCACCCAAAGUGCUGGGAUGACAGGCGUGAGCCACCGUGCCCGGCCCCGAAGCACAUGUUCUGAAUGAUGAGUAGGAGUUUGCCGGGUCGGCAGGAGGGGAAGGGUGUUGGAAGCACCAGAAGCAGCAUAAGCGGGGACUGGGAGGUGUGAGAGCUGGCAGGUUAUUUGGGGUUGGCAAGGGGUGGGCUGUGGCUGGAGUGUAGGGUGGAAUAAUGCUGGAAGGAAGGGUUUACACCCUGAAAGAUGUCACCACCAAGGAGGCCCAGGGGGUGGGCCGUGGAGGGUUGCUGGAGCAGGGGCACAGAGGAGGGGGCAGUGGUGCGAGUGGACCCAGGCAGAGAGUGAAGGCAGAGCAUUCAGCCUCCUAGUCUGGAUGACAGGUUGUCUGGU
rnacentral:sRNA from 1 species